AGCAUGGGGAAAGAGCAGGAAGGAAGAAGAUCUGAUUUGCUUGUCUGAUGCACUUUGAAAUCCUCAAGGCACAUGGCGGAAGACACUUGUUUACGGGCAUCAUUUUCCAAAUACACUUUGCUUUUGAGCUGAUGGAUAUACAAAUCAGGCUAUGGCAGCACACACAUCUCAAAUGAGGGAGGCCUAUUCCGAUCGAAACAUCUGGUUUCAUUACACCAGACUCCAAAGACUGGCUCCUAAGCAACGCUGCAGAGAUUUUUGUGUAACUUAACCACCUUCCAUUGGUGUGCUGGGACUCUGAAAACUCUCCAAAGAGCAAUACAGUAGAUUCCUGGAGGACUGGGAAUGACUAGUGUGCCAGAGUGAGAACUGAAGUUAUUGUCAGAGAAUUCCAAAGGCCAAUUUCAAGCAAGAUAGAUACAGAGCUGCCUUGUCACUAAUGGCAGUGGAAAAUUGUCGUCUUCACUUGUCUCAUCAAACUCAUGGCUUCACAUGGAAAAAU